rnacentral:rRNA from 1 species
CGGGCGGACGGGUGAGUAACGCGUGGGUAACCUACCCUGUACACACGGAUAACAUACCGAAAGGUAUGCUAAUACGGGAUAAUAUAUUUGAGAGGCAUCUCUUAAAUAUCAAAGGUGAGCCAGUACAGGAUGGACCCGCGUCUGAUUAGCUAGUUGGUAAGGCAACGGCUUACCAAGGCGACGAUCAGUAGCCGACCUGAGAGGGUGAUCGGCCACAUUGGAACUGAGACACGGUCCAA